AUGACAAUAAGAAGAAUGGAUCAAGUUGUGGUGGUGGCGUGCUAGAAUCAGUUAGCCGAAAAGGAUCAUCCCAUAAGCAUAGGCUACAAAGCAGAAAGGAUUCCAUCAAUAUAAACAAGAAAGUCGCCUCUCCUAGCAUUACAAAGAAGGUUGCUGCUCCAGAUCGUUCCCAAACUAGUGGAGCCAAUUCUUCUACUCCAGGAACUGCUGUAAGUAAUCAGGGGAAGACAGAUCUUCGCGAUGAACCAUCUCAGAAGCAUGGAGUGGUUGGCCCCACAAAUGAUGCAAAGCAGCAAUCUUCCGGAUCAUGUGAGGGAAAUUCUUCCCAGAUUGAAGCAUUUUCUUUAACUAAUGGCAUCAUUCCUCCACCGCCUA